GAUGAACGCUGGCGGCGUGCCUAAUACAUGCAAGUCGAGCGAACAGACCCGGAGCUUGCUCCUCUGACGUUAGCGGCGGGCGGGUGAGUAACACGUGUAUAACCUCCCUAUAUUACGGGGAUAACCUCGAAAAACCGGCGCUAAUACCGGAUAAUAUCUUGAACCGCGUGGUUCAAUAGAAAAAGACGGUUUUGCUGUCUCUUAUCGAUGGAUCCGCGCCGCUUUAGCUAGUUGGUAAGGUAACGGCUUACCAAGGCAACCAUGCGUAUCCGAACGGAUAGGGGGGUAGGCGGCACGGGAACUGAGACGCGGACCAGAGUACUACGAGAGGCAGCAGAAGGGAACGUUCGGCAAUGGGGGAAAGCUUGACGGAAUGGGGGGAAGUCUGUGGUAAAAGUCUUGGGAUCGUGAAGCUCGGUUUUUGGUGAAGAACAGAUUUGGAAGGAACUGUGGACGUCUUGACGGUACCUAGUAAAAAAGCAACGGCUAACUACGUG
rnacentral:rRNA from 1 species